ACGGGUGAGUAAUGUCUGGGAAACUGCCUGAUGGAGGGGGAUAACUACUGGAAACGGUAGCUAAUACCGCAUAACCUCGCAAGAGCAAAGAGGGGGACCUUCGGGCCUCUCGCCAUCAGAUGUGCCCGGAUGGGAUUAGCUAGUAGGUGAGGUAAUGGCUCACCUAGGCGACGAUCCCUAGCUGGUCUGAGAGGAUGACCAGCCACACUGGAACUGAGACACGGUCCAGACUCCUACGGGAGGCAGCAGUGGGGAAUAUUGCACAAUGGGCGCAAGCCUGAUGCAGCCAUGCCGCGUGUGUGAAGAAGGCCUUCGGGUUGUAAAGCACUUUCAGCGAGGAGGAAGGCAGUCGUGUUAAUAGCACGGCUGAUUGACGUUACUCGCAGAAGAAGCACCGGCUAACUCCGUGCCAGCAGCCGCGGUAAUACGGAGGGUGCAAGCGUUAAUCGGAAUGACUGGGCGUAAAGCGCACGCAGGCGGUCUGUUAAGUUGGAUGUGAAAUCCCCGGGCUUAACCUGGGAACUGCAUUCAAAACUGACAGGCUAGAGUCUUGUAGAGGGGGGUAGAAUUCCAGGUGUAGC
rnacentral:rRNA from 1 species